rnacentral:misc_RNA from 1 species
UCUCCGUUGGUGAACCAGCGGAGGGAUCAUUACAGAGUUGCAAAACUCCCAAACCCCUGUGAACAUACCUAUCGUUGCCUCGGCGGUGCCCGCUCCGGCGGCCCGCCAGAGGACCCCCAAACUCUUGUUUUAUACAGUAUCUUCUGAGUAACACGAUUAAAUAAAUCAAAACUUUCAACAACGGAUCUCUUGGUUCUG